ACAUGAAAUUUAUACGCCUUUACACAUUGCGUUUCGAGACCUGCCUUUAUUCUGAAGGAGAUGUGCACCAAUACACAGAAGUGAAGUAUUCUGUGAGUGCCGGGAAAUUGUUGGUUAUGGUUUGACGGUAAAUUCCGAAUACCUGUUCCAUGAAGAAGCCUGGAAUUAAUUCCUUAACAGUCUGUAUUUGGACAAAUUGUGAAAUUAUCAGGAAAAAAAUAAUGGAAUCAUGUAAGGGCUUUUGUGGUGUCGAGAUCUCAAACAGCACAAUCUGAGGUUGGAAAGAGGCAAUACACGGACAGAACUAUAAAGUUGCUAGCAUGUCACAUACUUAAAUGUUUUGUUGUCACACGGCUGCUUAGAAUGUUGUUACAAGCAAAACAAAAAACAAAAAAAAACGGAAAUUUUUUUGCACAGUGGUCCUCAAAUUUGUAAACGAGUGACAUGUAUGGAAGCAAAUCAGACUCAUCAGAUUCUGAAUUUUAAAAGCUGCUGAAUUUCUUACUUUGAAUUUUUUUUGCAUCAAAAUUACGUAUGUGAAUUUUUUUAUGCCUGAAUUUAGCUCAUCAAAAUUCUAAAAACCAGUUAAAAAUUCAAUGUCUUCAAAAUUCACCAUCAAAAAAUUCAAUGUUCAAAAUUCGCCAUCAAAAAAUUCAAUGUUCAAAAUUCGCUGUCAAAAAAUUCGCUAUUCACAUCCGGGGGACUCAGGCGUAAACAAUCGAUCCUGGCCAAAAUCGAACCAACGCCCAGCCAAUCACGUGGCGCUCCUCCGGUCAUGUGACGCAGACGGUUCACCUCACAAGACCGGGGUCAACCACGGCUACAUGCAUGAACGACGGCGCUUCACAACACCGUCUGAACUGACCAGUCUGGUGAAAUUCUGGACUGGAUGGGAGACUCUACCAAGAACUCUCUCCACAGAAGUAGUGAAUGGCAGAUACCUGACAGCCUCCACCUGCUAUGAGACCUUACACAUCCCAGGACAUUACAAGGACUACACAUCAUUUAAGACUGAUAUCCUGGCCUGUAUUUGCACCUUGCCAGUCAAGAUAUGUUAGGUGUUGUUCUCUAGUUAGUUUUACUUGACUGACAAAACUAAGUGCACUUUUGGAUUCCCUCCCCUACCUGUUCUCCCAACUCACCUGACAGGUUAUCUGGCUCAAGUAUGCGUGUUUCUGCCAUACAUUUAAAGUAUCUGAAGUUAAGAAUAUUUCUGGUGAACAAUACAUGCAAUCACGGCAUUAAAGCAGGAGUUAAAAAUGAA